rnacentral:lncRNA from 12 species
CCCAGUCAGCGCCCAGUAUCCCCCCUGGGCCUUCCCAGUAUCUCCCAGUAUCUCCCAGUAUCUCCCAGUGCUCCCCCAGUGCUCCCAGUGCUCCCCCAGUGCUUCCCCAGUGCUCCCAGUGCUCCCAGUAAAAGCCCAGUAACCCCCCUGCAUCUUCCCAGUAUCUCCCAGUUCCUCCCAGUUCCUCCCAGUGCUCCCCCAGUGCUUCCCCAGUUCCUCCCAGUAUCCUCCAAGUUCUUCCCAGUAUCUCCCAGUAUCAUCCCAGUGGUCCCAGUAUCUUCCAGUGUGCCCCCAGUGCUCCCAGUAAGCGCCCAGUAACCCCCCUGGGCUGUCCCAGUUCCUCCCAGUAUCCUCCCAGUGCUCCCAGUAUCUCCCAGUGCUCCGAUGGUGCUUCCCCAGUGCUCCCAGUAUAUCCCAGUAUCCUCCCAGUGAGUGCCCAGUGCUCCCCCAGUGCUCCCAGUCAGCGCCCAGUAACCCUUCGGUGCCUUCCCAGUGCCUCCCAGUGUCCCCCCAGUGCUCCCCCAGUGCUUUCCCAGUUCCUCCCAGUAUUAUCCCAGUUUGUCCUUGUGCUCCCCCAGUGCCUCCCAGUAUCCUCCCAGUGGUCCCAGUAUCUCCCAGUGUCCCCCCAGUGGUCCCAGUAAAUGCCCAGUAACCCCCCUGUGCCUUCCCAGUAUCUCCCAGUAUCUCCCAGUGCCUCCCAGUGAGUGCCCAGUGCUCCCCCUAGUGCUUCCUAGUGCUCCCAGUAUCCUCCCAGUUCCUCCCAGUGCUUCCCCAGUGCUCCCAGUAAAAGCCCAGUAACCUCCAGUGCCUUCCCAGUAUCUCCCAGUGCCUCCCAGUGCUCCCCCCCCCCCCCCCCCCCCCCCCCCCCCCCCCCCCCCCCCCCCCCCCCCCCCCCCCCCCCCCCCCCCCCCCC